CCCUUAGAUGUCCUGGGCCGCACGCGCGCUACACUGAGUGUCUGAGAUACGAGUCUGCCUGGUCCGGCAAGGUCUAGGUAAUCGCUAAAAGACACAUCAUGCUUGGGAUAGAUUAUUGCAAAUAUUAAUCUUGAACGAGGAAUUCCUAGUAAGCGCAAGUCAACAGCUUGCGUUGAUUACGUCCCUGCCCUUUGUACACACCGCCCGUCGCUACUACUGAUUGGAUGUUUAAGCGAGGUUCUCGAACUGCUAGCGACUUAGCUUCGGAGAGGUCGCAGUGUGGGAAGUGAACCUAGCUUUGGUGUCUAGAGGAAGUAAAAGUCGUAACA
rnacentral:rRNA from 1 species